CCCUUGCGCUUGGUCUGCAGAGGGCCAUGUUUUCAGGGUAUGGUGUCAUCACAUAUGGCAUGCAAGGAUAUCCUCUGUCUGCAUGGAGGAGGCCAUCAUAUUGUCCUUGCAGACUCACGAAAAAUCCUUGCAUCAUGCACAAAGCCUGGCCAUUUGACUUCAACAUUUGUAAUGAUGUUGGUAGCAUCACAUAUGAUCUUGAUGGAAGAGAACAGUGCUUUAAUUGGAAUGUGGGUUCCAUCCUUGCAGCCAAUGACUCUUGGAAAUCAUGAAAUAUUAAAUGGUGUAGAGCUAUUUAUCUUUCACUUCCCAAUUGUUUUAUCCUUUUGUAAUCUUUGUUUAUAAAGAUAAACAUGCAA